UACGUAGGAUGCAAGCGUUGUCCGGAUUUACUGGGCGUAAAGCGCGCGCAGGCGGCACAUUAAGUAAGGUGUGAAAUAUCCCGGCUCAACCGGGAGGGUGCACUUUAGACUGAUGAGCUUGAGGUCGGUAGAGGGGGGUGGAAUUGCUGGUGUACGGUGAAAUGCGUAGAGAUCAGCAGGAACACCCGUGGCGAAGGCGGCCCCCUGGGCCGUACCUGACGCUGAGGCGCGAAGGCUAGGGGAGCGAACGGG
rnacentral:rRNA from 1 species